UCGUGACGUGAAUUGCAGGACUUUGUGAACGUUAAUUCUUCGAACGCACAUUGCGGCUUUGGGUUGACUGAGGCCACGCCUGGUUGAGGGUCAGUUGAAAAACUCGACUCGUAGUUGCGCACUGACUACGGAUUGUCUGAUUAAUGAGCCGCGAGGCCGUUUCCAGAUCAAGUUGAGACCAGAUGUGUGCGCUCUGAUGCUGGUGAAGCGUGAGCUUUGCUAGUUGGAGCAUCCGGCUAUCUUGGCCGUGCGCCGCAGCUGCACCCAAGAUUUGCUGACCAACUGCAAGCCUACACUAGCAGGAACGCAAGCAAAAGCACGUCUGUGAAGCAAACUCGUCAAAGGCGGAUCGCAUUGCCGCCGAGCGACGAAAAUCAUUCUUUUGACCUCAGCUCAGACGAGAUUACCCGCUGAACUUAAGCAUAUCAA
rnacentral:rRNA from 1 species